AGAGCGAACGCUGGCGGCAGGCUUAACACAUGCAAGUCGAGCGGGCUAGCAAUACGUCAGCGGCAGACGGGUGAGUAACGCGUGGGAACGUACCUUUGGUUCGGAACAACACAGGGAAACUUGUGCUAAUACCGGAUAAGCCCUUACGGGGAAAGAUUUAUCGCCGAAAGAUCGGCCCGCGUCUGAUUAGCUAGUUGUAGGGUAAUGGGCCUACCAAGGCGACGAUCAGUAGCUGGUCUGAGAGGAUGAUCAGCCACAUUGGGACUGAGACACGGCCCAAACUCCUACGGAGGCAGCAGUGGGGAAUAUUGGACAAUGGGGCAACCCUGAUCCAGCCAUGCCGCGAGAGUGAUGAAGGCCCUAGGGUUGUAAAGCUCUUUUGUGCGGGAAGAUAAUGACGGUACCGCAAGAAUAAGCCCCGGCUAACUUCGUG
rnacentral:rRNA from 1 species